UACGUAGGGUGCGAGCGUUAAUCGGAAUUACUGGGCGUAAAGCGUGCGCAGGCGGUUCGUUAAGUCAGAUGUGAAAUCCCCGGGCUUAACCUGGGAACUGCAUUUGUGACUGGCGAGCUAGAGUAUGGCAGAGGGGGGUAGAAUUCCACGUGUAGCAGUGAAAUGCGUAGAGAUGUGGAGGAAUACCGAUGGCGAAGGCAGCCCCCUGGGCCAAUACUGACGCUCAUGCACGAAAGCGUGGGGAGCAAACAGG
rnacentral:rRNA from 1 species